GCCAAAAGUAUGGUACAACUUGAAACAUUGAUUGUAACAUCUUGCAAUAUGUUGACCGAAAUAAUAGGAGGUGUUGAAGAGGAUGGAUCAACUGAUGAGAUUGUUUUCAGUAAAAUGAAAACAUUAAAACUUGAAGAUUUACAGAACCUUACAGGCUUCUCCUUGGGCAGUUACACUUUCAAUUUCCAAUCUUUAGUACAAGUGAAUGUUUUUAGAUGCCCCAAGUUGAGGAUUUUCACUGUCCGCCCGCUGAGCGCACCAAAGAUACAUGGUGUAUUCACAGGCAAAAGACUCAUUCCAACAUUUCAUUGGGAAGGCGAUCUCAAUGCGACCAUUGAACAGAUUUACAUGAAAUAUGUACGUAUUUACCAACUCUUGCUUCUCCCUGUAUUAAACUCAGUAUGCUAAUGUGUUUGAUUAAAUGCAUCGAUGCUUGUUUAGCGUUGGGAGGGAAACCUUAAUGCAAUACUAGCAGCAAUGGUAUUUGCGUAUUUAUUCUUAUGCUUUCUUCUUAAUUUUCAUGAUAUCUGUUGCAUGCAUAUAUGUUAUAUGUUUAUGAUAAGUCAGUUCAUUUGUUUUUUCCUUUGUCUUGUGGGAUCAGACAUUUUGCCAAUAUUUUAAAGCAUCCGAAUUUCCUGAGCUCUGGCAUGAUGGGAUGCAAGGGAGACUCCUACGCAAUGUAAAAAGGCUUAUGGUGGAUAAAUGUGCAAUGUAUAACAAAGCUAUACCAUCCAAUGUACUGGUGUUUUUAAACAAGUUGGAAAAGCUUGAGGUGAAAGGUUGUGAUUCAGCAGAUGUAGUAUUUGAUUUGGAAGGGCUAUCUGCUGAUGAUGGGCUGCUUCCCCAACUAUGUGAAUUGAAAUUAACAAGUCUGCCAAUGUUGAGACAUUUAUGGACUAAGGAGCCUCAGGGAAUUUUGGAGUUCAAGAACCUAAGGUUGCUCCAAGUUGGAAACUGUAGCAGCUUGACGUAUAUAUUUACCGAGUCUAUAGCAUUGUGCCUCUUGCAACUUGAAAAGAUAGAGAUAUACAAUUGUAAGAUGAUUGAAGGAAUCAUAGAAAAGGAGGAAGCAGCUGAUAAGAUGAUAUUAUUGCCUUCAUUGAAAUCUGUAGUCCUUAAAUGUUUGCCUAGAUUUUCCAGAUUGUGUUCAGGAUGGAGUAAUGUGGAAUGUCCAUUGUUGGAGGAGAUGAGCAUACAUGAAUGCCCAAGCUUAAAGAAUAUCUUUGUCACACAGACACUAGUGAACACAAUUGAUGAGGUUCAUAGACCUUUUCAGGUUAGUUUUCUAUUUAUUCUUUUCUCAAACAUUGCAUCAGAAAAGUAUAAAAACGCUCAGUUUAUUUUAUUUAAAUAAUUUUUACAUUUAAAAAGUAUUUAUAAUGUUAAUUUUUCUUUCCAAUUUAAAAAAAAAGUGUUUUUUUCAAAUAAAAAAUCAUACAGAACUCCUCAUUAAAAAAUAUAAAAAAAAUCAUAUGUUAAGAAUUUAAUUUAUUUUCCAUGUUUAAUUUUAGCUUCCUUAAUAAAAACUUAAAUAAAAAAUACAUUAAUUUUAUUUUAAUUAUUCAAAUUCAUUAUACACACAUAAAUUCAAAGAUAAUAUAAAAUUUUUAUAUUUUUCAUUUAUUUCAAUAAAAUUUUAAAUUUAUAUCCAUUACUAUAAUACAUGAUAAGUUUAUCGAUUAAUAAUCAUUAAAAUUUACUAACAUAUAAGCUUAUAAAUACAUUUCAGAAAUUUUAUACAAAAAUAAGUGUACCAUUUAUACUAAUGUAAAAAUAUUUGUAUUAAUAAAAAUAAUAAAAUAAAAUAAAAUAAAUAUAAAACUUUAAAUAUAGCUAAAGGAAAAUCAAGUAAUUUUUUUAAACAUUUGAAGAUAAAAGAAAAAAAAAAUAGUGAGAUAUUUAAUAUAUUUACUAUAUUUUUACUUUAAUAAAUAUAUUUAUAGUUUUUAUAUCUAAUUUUGCUCCACAUUAAACUUUAAUAAUACAUGUUAAUUAUAACAUAGCAAUUGUUUUCUUAUUAAUAUAUUAAUUAAUUAAAUAUAGUAUGAAUUUUUAUAAGCAUCUGGAGGAUUUAACAUUAACAAUCUUUUACUAAUUAGAAAUUUUUUUAUUUGCUGAUGUGCAGAUGUUUCCAAAUUUGGAAAAGUUUUCGUUAGACAAGAAGUCUACCAUAACCAUACUUGGAUUUCAAUUUCCAACAGGCUUCUUUUCCAAAGUAAAAGUUCUUGAAUUGAGUUUCUUUCUAAACAAAUAUCAUGUUCCUCUGUUUAGUUUACUUCCAAUAUUCUCCAAUCUAGAAAGAUUUGAAGUUCUUGAUUCUUCUCUCAACGAGCUACUUCCAUUUGAAGGACUGGUUGGUAACCAAGAAGAUAUCACUACAAUUCCACAGAUAAGAGAUUUGAAGCUUAAAAAUCUUCUUGAUUUGAAGCAUAUAUGGAAUCCAGAUGGCCAACUGCAUGACCCAUUAUUUCAGUCUCUUGAGACUUUUGAGAUAGUCUUGUGGAAAUUUGAUUGUUUUAGCACCAUCCUCUGUGUCUUUGGGAAAUCUGAAAACUCUCAAAGUAUAUGAAUGCAACACAUUUGCAAAUAUUUUUACAUCAGCCGCAGCCAAAAGUAUGGUACAACUUGAAACAUUGAUUGUAACAUCUUGCAAUAUGUUGACCGAAAUAAUAGGAGGUGUUGAAGAGGAUGGAUCAACUGAUGAGAUUGUUUUCAGUAAAAUGAAAACAUUAAAACUUGAAGAUUUACAGAACCUUACAGGCUUCUCCUUGGGCAGUUACACUUUCAAUUUCCAAUCUUUAGUACAAGUGAAUGUUUUUAGAUGCCCCAAGUUGAGGAUUUUCACUGUCCGCCCGCUGAGCGCACCAAAGAUACAUGGUGUAUUCACAGGCAAAAGACUCA
rnacentral:lncRNA from 1 species